ACGUUGUAUGCAGUGUUAUUUCAUUUUAAAUGUCAAACGGGUUUUGCGGCUCCCAGUGUUUUCUUUUCUGUGGGAAACGGGUCCAAGUGGCUCUUUCAGUGGUAAAGGUUGCUGACCCCUGCCCUAGGGCAAGGGGUUUAGAUGGGGUGGAGUUUGGUAGGUGUGUUCAGGAAGGUUUCUUGACACAGUAUGUAGAUAAGCCUACACAUGGAGAGGCUGUACUUGAUAUGGUAUUGGGAAAUGAACCUGGUCAGGUGUCAGAUCUCUCAGUGGGAAAGCAUUUUGGAGAUAGUGAUCAUAAUUCUAUCUCUUUACAAUAGCAUUGGAGAGAGAUAGGAACAGAGAAGUUAGAAAAGUGUUCAAUUGGAGUAAGGGGAAUUUUGAGGCUAUCAGGCAGGAAAUUGGAGGCUUAAAUUGGAAACAGAUGUUCUCAGGGAAAAGUACAGAAGAAAUGUGGCAAAUAUUCAGGGGAUAUUUGUGCAGAGUUCUGUGUAGGUACGUUCCAAGGAGACAGGGAAGUUAUGGUAGGGUACAGGAACCAUGGUGUACAAAGGCUGUAAUAAAUCUAGUCAAGGAGAAAAGAAAAGCUUACAAAAGGUUCAGAGAGCUAAGUAAUAUUAGAGAUCUAGAAGAUUAUAAGGCUAACAGGAAGGAGCUUAAGACGGAAAUUAGGAGAGCCAGAAGGGGCCAUGAGAAGGACUUGGCGGGCAGGAUUAAGGAAAACCCCAUGGCAUUCCACAAGUACGUGAAGAGCAAGAGGAUAAGAUGUAAAAGAAUAGGACCUAUCAAAUGUGACAGUGGGAAAGUGUAUAUGGAACCGGACAAAAUAGCAGGAGUACUUAAUGAAUACUUCAGUAUUCACUAUGGAAAAGGAUCUUGGUGAUUGCAGCGAUGACUUGCAGCAGACUGAAAAGCUCGAGCAUGUAGAUAUUAAGAAAAAGGAUGUGCUGGAACUUUUGGAAAGCAUCAAGUUGGAUCAGUUGCCAGGACCAGACGAAAUAUACCCCAGGCUACUGUGGGAGUUGAGGGAGGAGAUUGCUGAGCCUCUGGCGAUGAUCUUUGCAUCAUCAAUGGGGACGGGAGAGGUUCCAGAGGAUUGGAGGAUUUGCAGAUGUUGUUCCUUUAUUCAAGAAAGGGAGUAGAAAUAGCUCAGGAGAUUAUAGACCAGUGAGUCUUACCUGAGUGGUUGGUAAGUUGAUGGAGAAGAUCCUGAGAGGCAGGAUUUAUGAACAUAUGGAGAGGCAUAAUAUGAUUAGGAAUAGUCAGCAUGGCUUUGUCAAGGGCAGGUCAUGCCUUAUGAGACUGAUUGAAUUUUUUGAGGAUGUGACUAAACAUGUUGAUGAAGGAAGGGCAGUAGAUGUAGUGAAUAUGGAUUUCAGCAAGGCAUUUGAUAAGGUACCCCAUGCAAGGCUUAUUGAGAAAGUAUGGAGGCAUGGGAUCCAAGGGGACAUUGCUUUGUGGAUUCAGAACUGGCUUGCCCACAGAAGGCAAAGGGUGGGUGUAGGCAGGUCAUAUUCUGCAUGAAGGUCGGUCAACAGUGGAGUGCCUCAGGAAUCUGUUCUGGGACACCUCUUCGUGAUUUUUAUAAAUGACCUGGAUGAGGAAGUGGAGGGAUGGGUUAGUAAGUUUGCUGAUGACUCAAAGGUUGGGGGUGUUGUGGAUAGUGUGGAGGGCUGUCAGAGGUUACAGUGGGACAUUGAUAGGAUGCAAAACUGAGCUGAGAAGUGGCAGAUGGAGUUUAAUCCAGAUAAGUGUGAAGUGGUUCAUUUUGGUAGGUCAAAUAUGAUGGCAGAAUAUAGUAUUAAUGGUAAGGCUCUUGGCAGCGUGGAGAAUCAGAGGGAUCUUGGGGUCUGAGUCCAUAGGACACUUAAAGCAGCUGCACAGGUUGACUCUGUGGUUAAGAAGGCAUACGAUGUAUUGGCCUCAUCAAUCAUGGAAUUGAAUUUAGGAGCCGGGAGGUAAUAUUGCAGCUCUAUAGGACCCUGGUCAGACCCCACUUGGAGUACUGUGCUCAGUUCUGGUCACCUCACUACAGGAAGGAUGUGGAAGCCAUAGAAAGGGUGCAGAGGAGAUUUACAAGGAUGUUGCCUGGAUUGGGGAGCAUGCUUUAUGAGAAUAGGUUGAGUGAACUCAACCUUUUCUCCUUAGGGCAAAGGAGAAUGUGAGGUGACCUGAUAGAGGUGUGUAAGAUGAUGAGAGGCAUUGAUUGUGUGGAUAGUCAGAGGCUUUUUCCCAGGGCUGAAAUGGUUGCCACAAGAGGACAGAGCUUUAAGGUGCUGGGGAGUAGGUACAGAGGAGACGUCAGGGGCAAGUUUUUUACUCAGAGAGCGGUAAGUGCGUGGAAUGGGCUGUCGGCAACGGUGGUGGAGGCAGAUAUGAUAGGGUCUUUUAUGAGACUUCUAGAUAGGUACAUGGAGCUUAGUAAAAUAGAAAGCUAUAGGUAUGCCUAGUAAUUUCUAAGGUAGGGACAUGUUCUGCACAACUUUGUGACCAAAGGGCCUGUAUUGUGCUGUAGGUUUUCUAUGUUUCUAUGUUUUUAUCUUUCUAUCAUCUACUUAUCCUUCUGCACAAUCUCCCUACAAACUGUCUCUGCUUGUAAGCCAACCACUCCACCCUUUGCCUCUUCACUUUGGUUCCCAGCCCCCUGCAAAUCUAGUUUAAACCCUCCCCAACAGCAUUAGCAAACCUCCCUCCCAGUAUAUUGGUUCCCCUCCAGUUCAGGUGCAACCCAUCCCACUUGUACAGGUCACCCCUUCCCCAGAAAAGGCUCCAAUGAUCCAAGAAUUUGAAACACUGCCCCCACACCAUUUCCUCAGCCACUCAUUCAUCUGUGCUACCUUCCUGUUCUGAUCUUCACUAGCUCGUGGUACUGGGAGUAAUCUGGAGAUUAUCACCUUAACCUCUUCAGCCUCUUUCCUGGCUCCCUAAACUUAUCCCUCUCCUGCCUAUGUCAUUGGUACCAACAUGUACCACAGCCUCUGGCUGCUCACCCUCUCCUUCAAGAAUAUUCUGCAACCACAGAGACAACUUGGACCCUAGCACCCAGGAGGCAACACACUAUCCUGGUGUCUCUUCUGCUGCUUCAGAAUCUCCUAUCUGUCCCCUAACUACUGAGUCCAGUAUGAGUAUUAUUCUGCCUGACUUCACCCCACAAUUCUGAGGCUCAGAACAACCACAGAGCUAUUGGUCAGGCUGCUGCUGCCUUGCCCAGAUAGGUCAUCCCCCUCAGCAGUACCCAAAGGAAUAUAUCUGUCACUGAGGGGAAUGGCCAUGGGGGACCCUGCACUGACUUCCUUCUCCCGUCACCUCUUUUGGUGUUCACCCAUCUACUCCCUGUAUUCUGCACUCUAGGGGCAACCACCUGCUCAAAAGUUGUAUCUAUCAAUUGCUCUGCCUCCCGGAUGAUCCUAAGUUCAUUCAGCUCCAGCUCCUCAAUGCGGUCUUUCGUGAGCUGGAGUUUUCUCACUUCCUGCAGGUGUGGUUAUCAACAGAGACUAUCAGGUUCCAUGAAUUCCUUCAUCCUACAGGAGUAGCGUUCCACUGCCAUCCCGCUGCUCUGUACAAAGGACAAUGAAGACCACAUCUUCUAACCUGUGUCUUUGGUCUCAGGCUCUUCUCGUCAAGGCCUCUUGACUCAAAGCCUGACACUCCUAAUCUCACUGCUGGUCUACUCCCAACAAUAGCUGCCCUGUUUGCCCCUUCUGUACUUUUAUUUAAUUUGCAGCGCUCUGCUCCUGAGACUGACUGGACCUCCAGAUUGUCCGAAUACCCGUGAAGCACUCCUUUUAUACAAGCUUCGCUGACCUGUGAGGAACCUCUUUGAAGUGCUCUGCUCCCAACGCCGAAGGAGAGUUGAACAUUCUCCCCAGAUGUCCGAGUGGGAGGAAUCCAGAGCAUGUCGUACAGAUGAAGAAAAAUAUGACCGAGAGGAUGACAGGGGUCCGGAACCUGCUGAUAAGGAGUUGGCAGAAUAUUACUUCUGCAGAUUUCUCUGCCGUGAACUCAACUCCUUCAAGAUCAUUAAAACUUUGCUCCUGUACUUUAGGCAGAGCCUCGAUGAUCUUUUGUUUUUAAUUUAAUUACUUGACUUUCUCUUACAAGUAUGUCCAUCAUUUUUAUUCUCCUUCAGUAUUCUCCUGAAAUAAACUUGUAUCUCAAUGAUCACCAAUUCUAAUUCCAGACUUAACCCUUGAAGUACACUUUAACUCAAUGAUGGCAGUCUCUUUGUACCUUGGAAACAUAAUGCAAAUACUGCAAUUGAGACCGAGACAUUUAUGCUUUCAGACCACUGAUCUCUAUUUUUUCCGAAGUUCGUCCGGCAAUUUAUUUACAAUAAUCCUCCUAUCAGCAGGUAAGUUCAGCCAAAGUAGGUCCUGCUCCUCUUCCAUGGCAUUGCAACAGCCUCUAAGAAAAAGACUGCAGCCCAGAAGAGCUUUCACAUCUUCUGAUUUGAUAUGUGGCCAAGAACGAGCCUUUUUCAUGUAGGCCACAGCAAUUUUGUGCUCAUCACCAAAAUGUUCUUGCAGUAAACCUUAGGACCUUACAUAUCCUUGCUCCGGGUCAGCCCACUGCCAACAUUUGACAAGUUCUCUAGGAUAACCUUCAGUGAAGUGGAAGUAGAGAUGGUCACCAUAACCAGCAGUCUUGCCUUCAAUGCUAUUCUUGAAAACCCUCAUAAAUGAAUGAUAUUGCAAUGGAUCGCCAUCGAAGAUUUGAAUCUCUCUCUUUUAGGCAGAGAUACAAUGUGUUGUUUCCCCAAAAGGACCAGAACCUUGUCAAAGGGUUUGGAGACUUGCAUGCCUAAUCAGGGAUCUAUGCCUUGGCUCUUGGUAGGGUCACCCAUGCCAAACAGGUCAAAGGGUAAAGGUUAGACCAAGAGUGGUCCACUGAUCCUCAGGUUCAGAGGUUUAUCUCAAGGUUAACAAUCCUAACUGGUAAAACAAAAUGGUUACAGAAACAGCAAUGAAGAAUACUUCUACAUCUGAGUGCAAUGGUAUUCCGGAGUCUCUAACCGGAGCUUCCAUGACUGACAGUAGUGAAAACCAAGCUGCUGACAUGAUGAAGGAACCCCUAGAUGCCAUGAGAGAUGGAGGAGCUUCAUUGUUGUCCUAAUGGGCAGUAGAGAACAUUGUGCUGUUGUUGUUCCAUCACUAUGCUUGUUAUUUCCUUUUGUGUCUUUAUGGAUUCCAGUGUGGCAUUUAGAUCUUUAUCAUCUGCAACAUAAGGUGUCUUCAGAUUGUAAAUUAAUGUUCUCAGAAGCACUUUGUGCUAUUGGCUAUGGCAUCACUAGAGUCCCCUUGGUGCAGGCUGAUAGUGAACACCCUGAACUACCCUCGGGGUUCAAACGUGGCUCAUAGACUUUUAUUUCUCAAACGUAUCCACAUUGACAUCGAGUUUGCUGGAUUUUCUCUGUUCCAUGUCAACCUAGGAAAUCUCUUCAGAGAACUGUUCUGCUGGAGCAUGCUUAGCACUCAAAGCACUUGAAGCUCUUAGCACUUCAACUCUGGCUACCUUGGCUGCAAUUUCUUCCUGCAACUUAAGUUCAUUCAUCUUCCUUCAAUUUUGCUCUUCUCUUCAAAGCUGUUCCUCCUGCUGCUCUUCCUGGUUUCUCCAAAGCUGUUCCAUCUUUCCUUCCUGUUUUUUUCAAAGCUAUUCCAUUUUUCUCUGAUGUUACUCUUCCUGUUCUUCCAAGGCAUAUUUAUCCCUUAUUAUUUGUUGUCUUGUGCAUAACUUAGCUAAAUCAGCCUCCGUUCUAAUGUGGCUAAUGAGGUGUCAGGCGCAUGAGUCAUUCUGCUAGCAAUAGAACAUGCUGCUCGCAUGUUAGGUGUGUUGUCUUCAGUUUUAUACAUAAUCACAGCCAGUUCUGUGACAUUAUAAACAUUUUAAUUUCCUCUGACAAACUGACCUUCAACAUUGCACAUUUGUCUAAUUUCUCUCUUUGUCUUUGAUUCAGGGUUUCUGCUUCCAGCUGGACUCAUGUUAUUUUCCAAGUGUUUACCAGACAAAACAAAGGCAAAUUCAACAAUGGAAGCAACUCAGUUCUUCAGCCUUUCAGCAGAACCAAGUGGCCAAACUCUUCAGGCAAGCACCACCAUACAACUUUCUAGUCCAUCCCAGUUAGACACAGCUCCAAUCUGCUAAUUAAAUUUGCUGAUGACACUACACUGAUUGUCCUAAUCUCAAAUAAUAAUGAGGCAUCUUACAGAGAAGAACGCACCACCCUGAAACAGUGGUGUCAAGAAAACAACCUUUCCCUUAAUGUUGCAAAAAACAAAGGAGCUGGUUGUGGACUACAGGAGGAAUGGAGACAGGCUAGCCCCUAUUGACAUCAAUGGGUCUUGGUUUGAGAUAGUGAACAGCUUUAAGUUCCUUGGCAUAAACAUCACCAAGGAUCUCGCGUGAUCUGUACAUACCGGCUGUGUGGUGAAAACGGCACAACAGCGCCUCUUCCACCUUAGACUUUUGAAGAAGUUUGAUGUGGGCCCCCAAAUCCUAAGAAAUUUCCACAGGGACACAAUUGACAGCAUCCUGAUUUGCUGCAUCACUGCCUGGAUUGGAAACUACUUCCCUCAGUUGGAGAACUCUGCAGAGAGUGGUGCGGACAGCCCAGCACAUCGGUAGAUGUGAACUUCCCACUGUUCAGAACAUUUACAAAGACAGCGGUUAAAAAAGGUCCCGAAGGAUCAUUUGGGACCUGAGUCACCCCAACCACAAACUGUUCCAACUGCUACCAUCUGGGAAAUAUUACUGCAGCAUAAAAGCCAGGACCAACAGGCUCCGGGACAGCUUCUUCCACCAGGCCAUCAGGCUGAUUAAUUCAUGCUGACACAACUGUAUUUCUGUGACUGUCCUGUUGUACAUGCUAUUUAUUAUAAAUUACUAUAAAUUGCACAUUGCACAAUUAGACAUAGACAUAACAUAAAGAUUUUUACUCAUGUAUAUGAAGGAUGUAAGUAAUAAUUUCAAUUCUUGAAGCAAUUAAACUUAAGCAUACACAAGUGUAAGCUAAGCACUUUUUUCAGUGGUCAGCAAAAGAUAAGACCCUUGCCAUUCUCAAGCUACAAACUGACACAAAAUAAGCAAGAAUACGUAAAUCACUUCCUUUGCUUUUACCACUCAUGUGACUGGUUACCGUAAUAAACAUAACAAACUCCGCAACACAGAAUUAUGCGAAGCUAGAUGAUUGUAAUCCUGCUGCAAGUAAGUUUUUCAUUAUACCUGUGCAUAUGACAAUAAACUUGACUUUGAAGUCUAUCUCUUGGGACUUUGUAUAGAUUCCUGAACUGAUAACUGGAGAAAUCUGAGCAUCAUACCUCAUUGGGAGGAAUGGAGAACCUUGUAGUUCCAUAAGAUAUUAAAAUAUUGUGAAUGUUAUAUUACUGACCAGAAUGCAAACAAAAUAAUGACAUUGAUGAGAGGAAUAGUAAGUGCAAAUUAAUAAAAGGCAAAUACACAUUGAGAUCAGCAGAAUUACUCCACAUGUGAAUGCUCAGAUGGACUGGCGUUUAGCUCACGGCUCGCGAGGUCUGUUCGUCUCUGCGCUGAGCUGAUGCUGUGGCCUACAACGAACAGUCUCCUGAAUUGGCUGUGAACUCACUGCCGUAAACUUCAGUUCUGCAUGUUAGUUGCUUGGUUUUAUUGUUUUCACGGUUUGUAUUUUUUCCUGCACAUUCAUUGGCUGUUUGACAGUCUUCUUUUUAAUGGGUUCUAAUGGGUUUCUUUGUUUUGUUUCUGCCUGUAAGGAGACGAAUCUCAAGGUUGUAUAUAAGAAACGUACUUUGAUAAUAAAAGUAAUUUGAACUUUUUCUUUGUGAAGCAAAAGAUCUGUAGAUGCUGGCAAUCUAAGCCCACGGCAGGUCAGGCAGCAUCUGUGGAGCGAGAGUUGAUGCUUCAGUCGAACAGCUGAAUAAUCUCAGCAUUUUCGGCUUUAGUUUCUGUUACUGUUUCUGCUACGGGCCUGACAAGAAUCAAGUCGAUAUGUUACAAUCUUUCAACUUCAGUCAGUAAGUGCCAUUAAAAUAGUAACUUGUGUGGCUGGCCUGUCCCAAAAUAAACAUCAGCUUUGCAGCUGGAACACUCCUCCAUCCGGGCAGGACUGUGAAUGUUGUAUCUGCUUUUUUUGCUUUUGUUCUUGGGAUGGUUUUGGAUAUCUGAGGGGAGUAAAAGUCUUAUUUUGUUUAAUGCCUCCCACAGAGCUGCUACCGGUUGCUGUAAGAGGAAACUGCAGAUUGUGUGUUUGGUUGUGGUGUCGGGAGAAGCACUUCAGGCCCUUGUAUCUUCCAAUUUAUUGUGCCUGAGUUAAUCACUAAACCAUUGAUUGUUUCUUUCUGAUUUAUUUUAAUGCUAUCAUGUCUACUUAGUUAAUUACGAAAUAUUAAUUUGCAUAAACUGGCCAUUUGCAUACAAAUUUGGCGUUUAAACUGAUUCCCAUUAGAAUUUUUUUCUAUUUAGAGCUGAUAGAAGUUUAUAAAAUUAUAACAGGUUUUGAUAGGGUAGAUCAAGAUAGUCUUUUCCUCAGCAUAGAGAUGUCAAAUGGUAAAGGAAGUAGCUUUAAGGUGAGGGGACCAAGUUUAACAGAGAUGUAUGGUUUUGCAAGGAUUUUACCAGAGAAUGGUAAAAUAUGAUGCCAGGAGCAGAGGUGGAGGGAUAUGUAACAAUAGAGUUUAGGAGGCAUUCAGAGGCAGGUGAACAUGCAAGGAAUGGAGGAAUAUGGAUCAGGUGAGGUGCUUGGAAGUAAGUACAGAGGAGAUGUCAGCGCUAAGUUUUUUACACAGAGAGUGGUGAGUGCAUAGAAUGGGCUGCCGGUGACAGUGGUGGAGGUGGAUACGAUAGGGUCUUUUAAGGGACUCCUGGACAGGUAUAUGGAGCUCAGAAAAAUAGAGGGCUAUAGGUAACCCUAGGUAGUUUCUCAGGUUAGGACAUGUUUGGCACAGCUUUGUGGGCUGAAGGGUCUGUAUUGUGCUGUAGGUUUUCUAUGUACAGGGAGGUGAGAUCAGUUUGGCUUCAUGGUUGGCACAGACAUCAUAGACAGAAAGGCAUGUUCCUGUUGUGUAUAAUCUAUUUAAGUUUCGUAUGUGUGUGUGUGAAUACAUAUAUAAGGUGUGGUCAAAAGAUCUUCCAUUGUCUUUCACUUCAUGAUUCAUUUGAGCAGAAGAAACAAGAUUGUGAAUGUUCUUUUUAUCAAUGACACAUUUUUCUUGGUCUUUUGUCUCUGGAGUAUAAUGUAUUGUUGCUACUUUAGAUGAUACAGAAAUCUGUUUUCGAAAGUCACUGGAAGCAGAAUAUUAUUCAUGUUCGUGUACUUUAUUACAUUGUUCAUUUUUGUAAAUAUUCCUUAAGUAAGAAAACAAUAACCAAUAAAGAUACUUGGUUAAGCAUCCACAUUACAUUGUGAGCUGAGGCAAAUGUUUCAUUUGACUAUUUUUUGGACAGCAUAUUGCAGAAAUUAGAGGG